rnacentral:pre_miRNA from 1 species
UUACUACUCCCUCCGUUCCGAAUUACUUGUCUCGGAAAUGGAUGUAUUUAAAACUAAAAUACAUCUAGAUACAUCCAUUUCUGCGACAACUAAUUCCGAACGGAGGGAGUAGGUG